rnacentral:lncRNA from 1 species
AAUACAUCAUCAGUGAAAGAGAGAGAAGUCAGUUGGUGACCAGGUAGAUGGACAUUAAACAUUGGGGAUGAAAACUCGAAUUGCUGACAAGUUUUUGGUGUGAGCAUCACAUCUCAACAACUAGAGUGAAGAAAUAAUUAUCUAGGAUGGCAAUGAAACACACUGAUCCUACAUUUAUAAUAUGGAUAAAAGAAGAAAAAAAAGACAGGAUCAAAAGUGGAUUUUAGUUGUAAACUCAGCCAUGGCAGCAAUACAAUGAAUCCACUGAAUGCAUCCUUCAUUUGACAGUACAGAGGUGAAUGGAUGAGCCAAUGAAAAAUAAAGACAAGGACUGCAGUGGGAGGUGCCCAAGAAUUUUUCUGACAUAAAAAGAGACACACAGACCAAUGGAACAGAAUAAAGAACCAGAAGCAAAUCCACGCAUCUACAGUGAAGUCAUUUUUAACAAAGCUUCCAAGAACAUACAUUGGGGAAAGACAGUCUAAUCAAUAAAUGGUGCUGAGAAAACUAGAUAUCCAUAUGCAAAAGAAUAAAACUAGACCCCUAUCUCUCACCAUAUCCAAAAAUAAAAUCAAAAUGAAUAAAAAGCUUCAAUCUAAUACCUCAAACUAUGAAACUUCUAUAGGAAAACACUGAGGGAAGUCUCCAGGACUUCUGGGCAAAGAUUUCUUGAGCAAUACCCUACAAGAAUAGACAAUCAAAGAAGACAUGGACAAAUGGGAUUACAUCAAGUUAAAAAGCUUCUGCACAAAAAAGGAUACAAUCAACAAAAUGAAGAGACAACCCACAGAAUGGGAGAAAAUAGUUGUAAACUACUCACCUGAGAAUGGAUUAAUAACCAGAAUAUAUAAGGAACUCAAACCACUUUAUAGGAAAUAAUCUAAUAAUCUGAUCAAAUUAAGGGUAAAAGAUUUGAAUAGACAUUUCUCAAAAGAAGACAUACAAAUGGUUUUAUUAUCUACCUAUAAACUGCCCUAUUCCUGAAGCCCUGCAAGCUAGGGCUGGGCAACUUGAUAUAAACUUCAGAGGACAAUCUUCAUGCAUGCUGCUGUGUGGGCUGCUAAGGAAGUUCACCAAAACAUCCAAUGACAUAAACUAAGCUUGUCCAACAUGUGGCCCACAGGCUGCAUGCAGCCAAAGAUGGCUUUGAAUGUGGCCCAACA